GGUUCCAUAGCUCAGCUGGAUAGAGCAACAGAUUUCUAAUCUGUCGGUCGAAGGUUCGAAUCCUUCUGGGAUCACAA
rnacentral:tRNA from 2 species